AUAAAAAAGCACAAUAAAAAUGGCUGGUUUGUGAAGGUACAUAUGUGAAACACAUAUAUAAACAGAUAAAUAACUGAUCAUAAGUAAACAUUUAAAUUCUGCAGUUUAUAGUAAGUAAGCUGCAAUAUUAAACCAUUUCUCAUGGUACAUGCAUUUAAAUGAUAAUAGAUUUAAUAGAUGAUUUGAUAUGAACUUCCACUAAUUCUUUACAACGAUCCCUAACCGAGUUUGAACUGAUUUUUGGAUGACUAAACUGAAACUGAUUUUGGGAUAAUACUGAUAUAAAAUAUGGAAAUAAUAGAACUAUAUGGUCUAUUUUGCUGCUUUAAGUGUGCUAAAAGAAGACAAAGUUCAAAUGUUGCAAUAGGUCCUAAGCUGUAAGGAAGUUAUGUAUAUCAGUAAUAAAACCUUUGUAUCAUUCCUGCAGGGAGAAAACCAACAUGUUUUGGUCUUUAUUUUUGUCAAGAUAGCUGGUCCUGUUUUGAGAUAUUAAUUUAUUAAAAUCUAACAACACUUUUUUGUUCUGCUGUUCACCUUGUUAACUUUUAGAUUCUUUGUAAUAAUGGUGAUUGCUGAAUUUUUUUUGAACACUAAUUGAUUUCUAAACAAACAUUCUUUUUUUUUUAUUUGGCAAUUGACAUGUAGCCUAAUGACUGCACCAGGCACAUUUUGCAUUUUCCUGAAUGAUGUUCACAAUUGCACUCUUGCAUUGUAAUAAAAAUGUCUGAUAUUAUUUUUCUAUACAAAAAUCACACAUUAACCUUGUUGCCCUAUAGUAGAGGUGCCCAAACAUUUUCCUACGAAGGACCAAAAAUCAAACUUGAUUGAGGGACAUGGGCCAAAAAUAAAUGUUGCAUUAUACCAUUGUAUAAGAAUUAAAGUUGCUACAGCUCCUCUCAUUUAUGAUUUUAUAAUAUGUAAAAUGAAUAAAUAAUUAGAAAAGUUUACUAUGUAAUAUGUUUAACUAAUGCAGAUUUAUUUUUAAUGUUCUUAACGUAGAAAGAAUCGAAUUAAUUGUACAAUAACCUCCAAUGAAAAACAUGAAUUUGGUCCUUGGUUUUUCCAAAUGGUACCCACCCACCCAUAUAUCAUUGGGGGCAAAUCGAAGGUCACCACUGGCCAAUUUUGGCCGGCAGGCCCUAAUUUGGGCAUCUCUGAUCAAAUCCAAAACACUGCAUGUCCUCAGUAAUGUCACUCCAUCUUUAAGUCCCUCCAAUAAAUCUCAUACAGUCAUUUAUUCAGUUCUCUUUUCAUUGAACAGUGAGUGAGAAGUGUGUACUGUCUUACGUUUUAAUCGUAAUUACUUUACGAUUAAAUAACCCAUUCAGGUUCUGAUAUUCUUUUCUAUAUAGCAAAUUAUUUUUCAUAUCUAGUAAACUAACAAAAGAAGUUGUGCGAUUAUAAUAUUCGAAAACAAAACCUACAUUUACAAUGUAGCUCGAUUGCUUCUUUUUUGAAAGUCGAUUCGCCCGACUCUCUUAAAAGAAUCGAUCAAGAGAAUCGAUUCAUAUGCGCCUCAUCCGUCAAAAGGACAAGCAACUGGCACGAGCUGCUAUUUGUUUCUGGAUUUAAAUCUAACUUAAUAAACAGCAUCGCAUAGAUUUAGUAUAUCUUGCUAGAUAAUGCCUGGGUUUUAGAUGUUAUACAUGGUGUAAACGUUGGCUCCAGUGCUCUCAAUCAGAAACUUGAUGACCUCCAGACGCCCCUCCGAGGAAGCCACAUGAAGCGCAGACCUUCCAUCAUAAUCAACAGCAUUCACAUCUGCUCCAGAGAGGAAAUACCUGCCGAGGACUGCACCUGCCUGAACGGAGUCCUAAUAUCAAAGCUGUGCAGCUGAAAAAGUGACACCAGCUCCUAAAACAAAGAUAGAGGAUCAGCAUUGCACCUGCAGCCACCUUACAUGUGCUAUAU